AAAAAGGCCCUUUUCAGGGCCACCAAACUUUCAGCAGUUAAUCACGU
rfam:Acyrthosiphon pisum strain LSR1 Contig1000547, whole genome shotgun sequence.